rnacentral:rRNA from 1 species
GAUGAACGCUGGCGGCGUGCCUAAUACAUGCAAGUCGAGCGAACAGAUAAGGAGCUUGCUCCUUUGACGUUAGCGGCGGACGGGUGAGUAACACGUGGGUAACCUACCUAUAAGACUGGGAUAACUUCGGGAAACCGGAGCUAAUACCGGAUAAUAUUUCGAACCGCAUGGUUCGAUAGUAAAAGAUGGUUUUGCUAUCACUUAUAGAUGGACCCGCGCCGUAUUAGCUAGUUGGUAAGGUAACGGCUUACCAAGGCGACGAUACGUAGCCGACCUGAGAGGGUGAUCGGCCACACUGGAACUGAGACACGGUCCAGACUCCUACGGGAGGCAGCAGUAGGGAAUCUUCCGCAAUGGGCGAAAGCCUGACGGAGCAACGCCGCGUGAGUGAUGAAGGUCUUCGGAUCGUAAAACUCUGUUAUUAGGGAAGAACAUACGUGUAAGUAACUGUGCACGUCUUGACGGUACCUAAUCAGAAAGCCACGGCUAACUACGUG